rnacentral:rRNA from 1 species
UACGUAGGGUGCGAGCGUUGUCCGGAAUUAUUGGGCGUAAAGAGCUCGUAGGCGGUGUGUCACGUCGAUCGUGAAAACUUACAGCUUAACUGUGAGCGUGCGGUCGAUACGGGCAUCACUGGAGUUCGGCAGGGGAGACUGGAAUUCCUGGUGUAGCGGUGAAAUGCGUAGAUAUCUGGAGGAACACCGGUGGCGAAGGCGGCAUCCUGGACCACGACUGACGCUGAGGAGCGAAAGCCAGGGGAGCAAACGGG